GAGUCAGUUAGGUGGUCGGCCCACUUGGCGGCUGGGUGCCUUAAAAAGGAAGGGGUAGGAUCCGGCGUGUUGGGACACCAUCGCUCGCGUGUUGGAGAUCGAGAGAAGGAAACCCUAGCCGCCGUCGUCCAGAUCUGCUUGGCUUGGUGGAGGGUAUGGCUAUGGCGCUGCGCACCAUGGCCGCCAAGCUGAAGCAGAAGAUCCCCGCCGCUGUCCAGCGGGUUCGCGUCUCUUCUCGUGCUCCGGCACCUGCUGAUGCUGACUUCGACCGCUUCGGCUUCGGCCCAGAGUUUCGCCGGGCACUGGACAAGAUUGUAGAGAAACACAGGAAGAGGCGCAGGGA